UGUCCAGUGGUGAAAAACUUCUAAUCAUGCCAUCUUUUGGGACUGAUCAGUCGCUAUGCGGCUAUGCUGUUAUUCUGCAAUUCUAAAGCCA